ACCCUCGCAGGCGCCUGCGGACAGACUGUGUGGCGGUUCCGCCGAUACAAUGCAGGCUCAGACAGACAGACUACGGUGGAUUUACCGUGUAUUUGCUAACGGCUCAUGCUCUGAGGAAGAGGGCGGCUUUACUUGGCGUCAGUGACAGAAAUGAGAAAAAGCUGAAAUGAGUGAGAAGGACGAUGAAGGAAACAUCUGUGCUGUGUCUGCUCUACCUUGGUGGAUCUGCAGGGGGAACUGAGGAUGUCAAUUAUGGACGAAUCAUCAACAAAUCAUCAAGAGAGAGAAGAGAAACAGUCAAAGAAAACCACAGACUCAGAGGAAGAGGGCGACUUUACUUGG